UCACCGGGUGAACACUUGCAGU
rnacentral:miRNA from 1 species